rnacentral:rRNA from 1 species
CACCAUGGGAGUUUGUUGCACCAGAAGUAGCUAGCCUAACUGCAAAGAGGGCGGUUACCACGGUGUGGCCGAUGACUGGGGUGAAGUCGUAACAAGGUAGCCGUAGGGGAACCUGCGGCUGGAUCACCUCCUUAA